UACGGAGGAUCCAAGCGUUAUCCGGAUUUAUUGGGUUUAAAGGGUGCGUAGGCGGCCUAUUAAGUCAGGGGUGAAAGACGGUGGCUCAACCAUCGCAGUGCCUUUGAUACUGAUAGGCUUGAAUAAACUUGAGGUAGGCGGAAUGUGACAAGUAGCGGUGAAAUGCAUAGAUAUCUUCAAGAACACCGAUAGCGAAGGCAGCUUACUAAGGUGUAACUGACGCUGAGGCACGAAAGUGUGGGGAUCAAACAGG
rnacentral:rRNA from 1 species